GCUUGUUGUUGAUUAGAACAGCCUCAGAAGAAACGUUCUAAAGCAGAGAAGAAGAAGAAAGAUGCCGAUGGGCCACGUCGGUUGAGGAGGAGAGUGGAGCCGGUGGCCUGAUGCCAGCCAUCAGCCAGGCUAAAAAAGAUGCUACAACAGAUGCUAAUUUAACACGCUGACCCGCUGGUGGCAGAGAGUCCUGCAGCACGUGAUUGAGCUGUUACUACACCUGAUGGCUGCUCUCUAACUGACCUGACCUUCUCGCAGGACGGUAUGUUUUACUCUCACCGUUAACGGUCGCACACGUUACGUGAUUGUUGGGAUCAGUGGGAAGGAAAGGUGACCCGUGGCAUGGCUGAAUUCUGCUCCAGCUGGUUCUCCGUACUGGACACAGUCAGACACCAUGCAACAGCCUCGUCUCAUUUCU